CCUGGUAGUGGGCCAUUCAUGGCCGUGCAGAGUUUGUUGCGAAGAGUAGUGGCGUCAGUGGGCUGUUUAGAGCCACGUGGGGUUUGUUAUGGAGAGCGGAGUGGUGUCCAUUGUCACGACUUACCAGAGAGUGGUGGGACCACAUGGAAUCUGUUACAGAGAGUGGAGUGGGGUAGUGGCCAUUGUCAUGACUUGUCAGAAAGUUUGGGCCUGUCGG
rnacentral:lncRNA from 1 species